rnacentral:rRNA from 1 species
ACAUUUCUUUUUGAUUAAAUUAAAAGUAAGGCCUGCCCACUGUAUAAUAUAAAGGGCCGCGGUAUUUUGACCGUGCAAAGGUAGCAUAAUCAUUAGUCUUUUUAUUGAAGAAUGGAAUGAAUGGCUUAAUAGGAUUAAUCUUUUUUUAUUAAGGAUAUAUAAUUUUGAUUAAAAGUGAAAAUACUUUUUUACUAUUAAAAGACGAUAAGACCCUAUAGAAUUUUAUAUAAUUUAUUAAAAGUUUUUUAUAUUUUAUUGGGGCAGUAAAAGAAUAAAUAAAAUUUCUUUAAAAUAUUUUUAUAAUUAAAUAAUUUAACUUAUAUUAAAAAAUUAUUAAAAAAUUACCUUAGGGAUAACAGCGUAAUUAAUUUUAAGAGUUCUUAUCGACAAAUUAUUUUGCGACCUCGAUGUUGAAUUAAAAUACCUUUUUGGUGCAGAUUUUAUUUAAGGUAGUCUGUUCGACUAUAAAAAUUUUACAUGAUUUGAGU